AUUGAACGCUGGCGGCAGGCUUAACACAUGCAAGUCGAGCGAGCGGCGGACGGGUGAGUAAUGCCUGGGAAACUGCCUGUUGGAGGGGGAUAACUACUGGAAACGGUAGCUAAUACCGCAUACCAUAAGAUGUUCCCAGAUGGGAGUAGCUAGUCGGUGGGGUAAUGGCUCACCUAGGCGGGUAUCCCUCGCUGGUCUGAGAGGAUGACCAGCCACACGGGAACUGAGAAACGGUCCAGACUCCUACGGGAGGCAGCAGUGGGGAAUAUUGCACAAUGGGCGAAGGCCUGAUGCAGCCAUGCCGCGUGUGUGAAGAAGGCCUUCGGGUUGUAAAGCACUUUCAGCGAGGAGGCGUUACUCGCAGAAGAAGCACCGGCUAACUCCGUGCCAGCCGCCGCGGUAAUAC
rnacentral:rRNA from 1 species